rnacentral:rRNA from 1 species
UAAAACUGGGAUUAGAUACCCCACUAUGYUCAGCCCUAAACUAUGAUAUUUAAUACAACACAAAUAUCCGCCAGAGAACUACGAGCCUACAGCUUAAAACUUAAAGGACUUGGCGGUGUCCCAUACCCAACUAGAGGAGCCUGUUCUAUAAGCGAUAUUCCACGAUCAACCUUACCACCCUUUGCUCCCCAGCUUAUAUACCGCCGUCUCAAGCUUACCUUAUGAAAGCUAAAAAGUAAGCGAAAUAGCUCCUACAGCUAGAAAGUCAGGUCCAGGUGUAGCCAAUAGGGUGGGUGUAAUGGGCUACAUUUUCUAAAAUAGAAAUAUCUACGGACAGUCCCUUGAAACAAGGACUAACAAGUCGGAUUUAGCAGUAAUCUAGGAAUAGAAAGCCUAUAUUAAACCGGCCCUGGGACAAGCACACACCGCCCGUCACCCMMC